UUAAGGAUGAAGACAUGGGGGUUACCAAGCACAAUGGAUGAGCUAUGCACUUUCAAAAAGGGGCCAGAAAAGGGAAAAUCUGUGUGCUUCCACCUGUACGAUUAGGAACUGCUGAAACACGCGCCUCACACGUUUAAUCAUGGGAGGAGAAGCCCUCCCGGCAAGAACAAUCCAUCAUCCGACAGACGCUUGAUUGUAACAGAUGACGGAGCACAAAAGAAGUCUCGAUCCAGACCCCAAGAGAGGCUUGUUGAAUGUCACACAAGAAAGAAUUCGGGGCGAGUCCACAGUGCAAAGCAAAAGCAAGUUUAUUAACAGAGUAAAGUGGUGAAAGUACAGCUACUCCAUAGACAGAGCAGGGCGUUCCCGAAAGCUAGAGGAGGAACGCAUCCACCGAUACAACAAAGCUUUAAAGCACGAAAAAGAUGAACUCGAAACACCAGUGACUGGAGGAACCAUGACAACACAAACAAGAAGGAAACAAGAAAGAAAAAGCAUAAUCCUGGUUUUUGUGUUCUGAAUUGUGGAUUUGAAAUGGAGGCUCCCGUGGCUGCUGACAGCCUGCCUUGAUGCUGCUGAUGUCUGGGUGAUGAACAGUCAUGGGUUUCCUCCCACCUGCCUCUGUGGAUUAAUGAAGAGCAAGGCAGGAAUGGCAGACCUGCCAUCUGGAAUGACCUUACCUGAUAAGAUUGUUCUGCCUUCCCCGCCAAAGGAGCCCACUCCAUUAUGAAAAAGAACUUCAAG
rnacentral:lncRNA from 10 species